rnacentral:rRNA from 1 species
GACGAACGCUGGCGGCGUGCUUAACACAUGCAAGUCGAGCGGAAAGGCCCUUUCGGGGGUACUCGAGCGGCGAACGGGUGAGUAACACGUGAGUAAUCUGCCCUGGACUCUGGGAUAGCCACCGGAAACGGUGAUUAAUACCGGAUAUGACCACUACCCGCAUGGGUUGGUGGUGGAAAGUUCUUCGGUCCAGGAUGUGCUCGCGGCCUAUCAGCUUGUUGGUGAGGUAAUGGCUCACCAAGGCUUUGACGGGUAGCCGGCCUGAGAGGGUGACCGGUCACACUGGGACUGAGACACGGCCCAGACUCCUACGGGAGGCAGCAGUGGGGAAUAUUGGACAAUGGGCGAAAGCCUGAUCCAGCAACGCCGCGUGAGGGAUGACGGCCUUCGGGUUGUAAACCUCUUUCAGUACCGACGAAGCGAAAGUGACGGUAGGUACAGAAGAAGGACCGGCCAACUACGUGCCAGCCGCCGCCGUAACA